rnacentral:snoRNA from 1 species
GUGAGGUGAUGACAAAGUUUAUCCAUUCUCUGAGUGCAGUGGUGCUGCCCUCCUGCAGCACCCUGAUUCCUGUUCUAGGGUCUGGGUGCUGUGCAGCCUCCAGAGACCCUCCAGUCUCCCAGUGUCCUGCUGGGGCCUGCUGUGGUGUGUGGCUGGCUGCCUGCAGGAUUGAAGUGGUGCUGGCAGGGUUGGAGCCCCUCCAUCCCCACUGAGAUGAGGGAUGACGUCUGAUCAC